GGACGAACGCUGGCGGCAUGCCUAACACAUGCAAGUCGAACGGAGUUAGAAGCUUGCUUUAAACUAGUGGCGGACGGGUGAGUAACGCGUGAGCAACUUGCCUCUCGGUGGGGAAUAAUGUACUGAAAAAGGACACUAAUACCGCAUAAAGUGCAGAGAUCGCAUGGUCAUUGCACCAAAGAUUUAUCGCCGAGAGAUGGGCUCGCGUCCGAUUAGCCAGUUGGUGGGGUAACGGCCUACCAAAGCGACGAUCGGUAGCCGGACUGAGAGGUUGAACGGCCACAUUGGGACUGAGACACGGCCCAGACUCCUACGGGAGGCAGCAGUGGGGGAUAUUGCGCAAUGGGGGAAACCCUGAACCGCAGCAAUGCCGCGUGAAUGAUGAAGGUCUUCGGAUUGUAAAAUUCUUUUGUCAGGGACGAAAAUGACGGUACCUGACGAAUAAGCUCCGGCUAACUACGUGCCAGCCGCCGC
rnacentral:rRNA from 1 species